ACUGGGACUGAGACACGGCCCAGACUCCUACGGGAGGCAGCAGUGGGGAAUAUUGCACAAUGGGCGCAAGCCUGAUGCAGCAACGCCGCGUGAGGGACGACGGCCUUCGGGUUGUAAACCUCUUUUAGCAGGGAAGAAGCGAAAGUGACGGUACCUGCAGAAAAAGCGCCGGCUAACUACGUGCCAGCAGCCGCGGUAAUACGUAGGGCGCAAGCGUUAUCCGGAAUUAUUGGGCGUAAAGAGCUCGUAGGCGGUUUGUCGCGUCUGCUGUGAAAUCCCGAGGCUCAACCUCGGGCCUGCAGUGGGUACGGGCAGACUAGAGUGCGGUAGGGGAGAUUGGAAUUCCUGGUGUAGCGGUGGAAUGCGCAGAUAUCAGGAGGAACACCGAUGGCGAAGGCAGAUCUCUGGGCCGUAACUGACGCUGAGGAGCGAAAGCGUGGGGAGCAAACAGGCUUAGAUACCCUGGUAGUCCACGCCGUAAACGUUGGGAACUAGUUGUGGGGUCCAUUCCACGGAUUCCGUGACGCAGCUAACGCAUUAAGUUCCCCGCCUGGGGAGUACGGCCGCAAGGCUAAAACUCAAAGGAAUUGACGGGGACCCGCACAAGCGGCGGAGCAUGCGGAUUAAUUCGAUGCAACGCGAAGAACCUUACCAAGGCUUGACAUAUACCGGAAACACCCAGAGAUGGGUGCCCCGCAAGGUCGGUAUACAGGUGGUGCAUGGUUGUCGUCAGCUCGUGUCGUGAGAUGUUGGGUUAAGUCCCGCAACGAGCGCAACCCUCGUUCUAUGUUGCCAGCACGUAAUGGUGGGAACUCAUGGGAUACUGCCGGGGUCAACUCGGAGGAAGGUGGGGAUGACGUCAAAUCAUCAUGC
rnacentral:rRNA from 1 species